UACGGAGGGUGCAAGCGUUAUCCGGAUUCACUGGGUUUAAAGGGUGCGUAGGUGGUCAGGUAAGUCAGUGGUGAAAUCUCCGGGCUUAACUCGGAAACUGCCAUUGAUACUAUUUGUCUUGAAUACUGUGGAGGUCAGCGGAAUAUGUCAUGUAGCGGUGAAAUGCUUAGAUAUGACAUAGAACACCAAUUGCGAAGGCAGCUGGCUACACAAAUAUUGACACUGAGGCACGAAAGCGUGGGGAUCAAACAGG
rnacentral:rRNA from 1 species